AUGCAGACAUCUGAUGACAAAUCUCUCUUUGGUCAGCACUUGAUGCAGUUCUGUCAUGACAGUAAACUGGUUCUUUCCAGCAUGAAAUUUCUGCCUGUAGAUAGUUACACUUACAUCAGUGAAGCAUGGCACACAACAUCCUGGCUGGAUCAUGUAAUCUGUACAUCUGAUGCUCAUGAUAGUCUGGAAACAGUUGAAAUUAUGUAUGGGUUGACUACCACUGAUCUACCUGUCUCUAUGAUGAUAAAUGUUGAUAACCUACCUGAUUGCAGCAGAUCGACAGAAGAUGGCCCCAAUUGGGUCAAAGUGAAUUGGGCUAAACAAUCUAAAGAGGAUGUCGUGUUUUAUUGUGGGAGGACAGAUGUUCUCUUAAGGGAAGUACAGCUACCCAUGGAUGCUAUUUUAUGUUCAAAUAUUAACUGUGAUGAUGACACUCACUGUAAUGACCUAUGUGAAAUGUACAAUAGUAUAGUGAGUGCUAUAUAUGAGGCCAGUAGACCUCUACACACUCACCCCAGAAAGAUUAAGAAUACCAAGCCUGGUUGGACAAAGUAUGUAGCUGCCCAUCAAGAAGCCGCUAAGACAGCUCAUAGAGCCUGGGUUAUAGCUGGUAGACCCAGACAGGGGCCAGAAUUACAGCAUAAGAAACUUACAAAUGCUAGAUACAAAUAUGCAGUGCACUUUGUUGGGAAGCAUGAGCAAGCCUUAAGAGCUCAUUCUAUGGCUGAAAACUUGCUUGGUAACAAUGUCACUGAGUUCUGGAAAGAGGUAAAAGCUACAAAUAGGGCCAAAGCAGUACUGCCAUGCCACAUUGAAGGGGUAUCUGGUGGAGACAAUAUAGCAGAGCAGUGGAGGCUGCACUACGCAGCUCUGUUUAAUUGUAUUAAAAGUGAGCUUUAUUGUGUGGGGAAGUUAAAGGAGGAAGUGAUUAAUUUUACUCCCAGCAAGGUUUAUCAUGUUAUAGGGCAACUAGCUGAUAACAAAGCUAGUGGCAAGGAUAACAUCACUGCGGAGCACCUUAAGUUAGCCAGCCCCAGGGUAGCAGCUCUAUUGUCCAUCUGCCUCACAGGGCUGAUGACACAUGGCAUACUGCCAGACACCAUGUUGACAGUCACAUUUGUGCCAGUCAUUAAGGAUAAGGCAGGUAAAAUAGGGAGUUUGGACAACUAUAGACCCAUCACCUUAGCCAGCAUUCUUUCAAAGGUGUUAGAAAAGAUGCUACUAGAUAGACUGAGUGAGUUCAUUUACACCACAGAAAAUCAAUUUGGUUUUAAGGCCAAGGACAGUACAGAUCUAUAUAUCUAUGCCUUGAAAGAAGCUGUUGAAUCCUACAGAAGGCAGGGUUCUACAAUAUUUCUAGGGUUUAUUGAUGCCUCCAAGGCAUUUGACAGGGUAAAUCACCAUAAGCUUUUUACUAAACUCAAGCUUAGGGGUGUGCCUGGAUGCAUCAUACGUAUCCUGGUUUACUGGUAUGGCAAACAACAUAUGCAAGUUAAAUGGGGAAACAGCCUAUCCUCACCCUUCAGUGUAGGCAAUGGAGUACAGCAGGGGGACUUCUGUCUCCAGCCCUGUUCAACCUAUACAUGGACAGCCUGUUGA
ensembl:lncRNA